UGCUUUGCAUGGUGGCAGUAUCAUACCCCAUGAUGAUCAAAGUGAGGUGUAAUUAUGCUAAUUGAAAACUAUUCCUAAUAUCGCAUGGUGAUGAUUUAAAAAAUAGUUAGUGCUGGCACUUUUUGACAGCUUCUUGUGAGG